GCAAGUCGAGGGGCCGCGGGUAGAUGAGCUUGCUCAUUUAUGCCGGCGACCGGCGCACGGGAGAGUAACACGUAUGCAACCUGCCCGUCUCAGGGGGAUAAUCGUCGGAAACGGCGUCUAAUACCCCGUAUGAAGCCGGACGGCAUCGACUGGAUUUGCAAGAAUAUCGGAGACGGAUGGGCAUGCGGCGCAUUAGCUAGUUGGCGAGGUAACGGCCCACCAAGGCGACGAUGCGUAGGGGUUCUGAGAGGGAGGUC
rnacentral:rRNA from 1 species